rnacentral:rRNA from 1 species
AGAGUUUGAUCCUGGCUCAGAGCGAACGCUGGCGGCAGGCCUAACACAUGCAAGUCGAACGAACUCUUCGGAGUUAGUGGCGGACGGGUGAGUAACACGUGGGAACGUGCCUUUAGGUUCGGAAUAACUCAGGGAAACUUGUGCUAAUACCGAAUGUGCCCUUCGGGGGAAAGAUUUAUCGCCUUUAGAGCGGCCCGCGUCUGAUUAGCUUGUUGGUGGGGUAAUGGCCCACCAAGGCUACGAUCAGUAGCUGGUCUGAGAGGAUGACCAGCCACAUUGGGACUGAGACACGGCCCAAACUCCUACGGGAGGCAGCAGUGGGGAAUCUUGCGCAAUGGGCGAAAGCCUGACGCAGCCAUGCCGCGUGUAUGAUGAAGGUCUUAGGAUUGUAAAAUACUUUCACCGGUGAAGAUAAUGACUGUAGCCGGAGAAGAAGCCCCGGCUAACUUCGUGCCAGCAGCCGCGGUAAUACGAAGGGGGCUAGCGUUGCUCGGAAUUACUGGGCGUAAAGGGAGCGUAGGCGGACAUUUAAGUCAGAGGUGAAAUCCCGGAGCUUAACUUCGGAACUGCCUUUGAUACUGGAUGUCUUGAGUGUGAGAGAGGUAUGUGGAACUCCGAGUGUAGAGGUGAAAUUCGUAGAUAUUCGGAAGAACACCAGUGGCGAAGGCGACAUACUGGCUCAUUACUGACGCUGAGGCUCGAAAGCGUGGGGAGCAAACAGGAUUAGAUACCCUGGUAGUCCACGCCGUAAACGAUGAUUGCUAGUUGUCGGGGAGUUUACUUCUCGGUGACGCAGCUAA